rfam:Schistosoma margrebowiei strain Zambia genome assembly, scaffold: SMRZ_contig0002219
AUACUGCUGAAGAGUCUCACAAUAGGGCGAAACGGCCGUCCAGUGC